CUCUCUCAUCCUAAAAAAAACUCUCUCCCCACAACCCACUCCACCGGCACCUGUUCCUCGGUCCACUCCACCCCAGCUCCUCUCCCCACGAUCUCCUCGCCGCGGCCCCCACCCACGCCGGCCGGUUCCGGCGAGCACCGGCCGCGUGUAACGCUCCCCUAACCCCACCGCCGGCGCCCCCCACCUCACCAGCAGCCGCUGCCUCUCUCAGCUCCUGAAGCCCUAGCUCAGGCCGCCGCGACCCACCCGCUGCUUCCCGCGUUCACGCGCGAGAUCCGUGUCCUGCGUUCACGGCCUAGCAGGCGUCCAUGCGCGGAUCCUCCUCCUCAUCGUGCUCUUGUGCCGGCCCCGAACCCUAGCUUCAAAUCGCCAUGCCCAAGUACUAAUCGGCCUCGGGCCCAAGUGCUCUGCAAGUCUGCAGAAAUCUGCUGCUGUGAGAGGACGACGACGAGGCGAGUGGCUGCUCCGACCCUGGUACUGACCACACGAUAGAAGACUUUUUGAAGCCAUAUGAGCUAGGGGUUGCACCGCAGGAGCAUAGCGUGUACAAGUACUGAACAUUGAAGAUUGCAUUGCAGCUCAUCAGUAGAAGAUGGCGACAGAGUGCUGCAGGAUAAUGAGAUGUUGAAGCGGCACACUAAAUCCAUGACACCGAAGUGCAAUUUUGGCAGAUUAUCUCUAUCUUUUCUUUUCAUUUUUCUUAUUAUUGAGUGAGAACGGAAUGAGGAGCUAUGUGAUAGUACGCACAACAACUGUAGUAAAAAUAGACUUAUGUUUGCAAUUGUUAAUGACAUAGAUACUUGCAUGUUCUUUGAAGUGGUCAUUUCUGAGUAGCAAUGCAU